CUUGUGUAAUGUAUAUAUCUGUUUGAACGUCCAGCGCUAACCUUCUAACUGCGCUAAAAUAAAAGAGAUAAUUGUGAGUGCAAUAAGUAACGUAAACAAGCUAUGUACAACAAGAAAAAUAUUAUUUAAUGAAGCUGUUCCCAAAUGCAGCUGAUCAGUGUUUCCAGCCAAUGCAUUAACAGUUAUAACCUCAAUGAAUUCUGCUCAAAAAAGGAGAGGCCAAGAAGAACCACAAGUUGGACAAUAAAAAUUAUUUCAUAAAGAUCCUCCAGUUUGUUUGUUAAAGAACCAUUGGCAACUUGAAAUUGUUUCAGUUGACGUGUGGAGUUAGCAAUCAGUGAGAUGAAGGUUGUGAAGAUAUCAAUAUUUCCCUCAAGAAGCUCUUCCGCCUGAAACACAGACAGUCUAGAAAGGUUAGAUUUCAUGAGACAACACCGUCCUAUAAGGUCUUCGUUGGUUUGAUGAUGAUGGGUACUCAAGUGAGUUUUGCAUUAAAAGUACCGCUCAAAGGCACAAAUAAACAAAGAAUGCCUUCAUUGCGAAGUUCUAAAUACCUUUUCUGAGGAAAAAUGAAAAGAUUCGUUUGUAAUGAUACCAGCUAGCUUAUAUUACCCUGAUCGUGGUUUUGUUGGAUCUCCGAGGAGGUACAUAAAAAUCAACGUUGGAUUCCUGAAAAGGAUCCGUCGGCCAGCGUCGAGACUGAUAUUAAAAGCAAAAACACCAUAAAAAAUGAAUGUUACAUCUAUGCAAUGAGCGUUUUCUUUGAAAUCAAUUCAGACAUGAUGUGUUCGGACAGUAUCAGAAGAUAUACUUAAGGAAAAGUAAAAUUACCAUAUUUUGGAGGAGAUUAGAGACUUGUUCUAUCAAUAGACGAGACAUUAUCAAGGCGUCAGUGAGGGAUGCAUUCAUAUCUCUGUUCCUUGAACAUGGCCAAGAAGGCUGAAGUUGAGCCGGUAAACACUUCGUUAUGGCAACAUUACACCAGACCAGAAAAUUAGACGCCAAGCCACCUGUGUUAUGUAAACGGAAAGUUACCAAAACACAAAACUACAUUAAACAUACGAUAAUUAGGUUUCUGCUGAUUAAUUGAAGAAUGGCUAACUUAUCAACUGACUGAACGACUACUGACUGACUGAUCUACUAACUGAUAGUUUAUUUGUCUGUUUGUCUGUCUGUCUGUCUGAUUGUCUGUCGGACGGACGGACGGACAGACAGACACAGACAGACUUACUGACUGACUGACCGACCAAUCGAUCAUCAGACUGACUGCCUGUCUGCCUGAUUGACUGUCUGUCUGACUGACUGGCUGACUGACCGACAGAACGUUUGUCCGAUUUACUCUCUGACUGCCUGACCGUCCCUGUUUGUCUGACGGACUAACUGACUGACUGACUAACCAUUUGUCUAUUGCCUUUUCGAUCUUACUGACGAGGAGAAAAUUUAAAGUCAAAGAAAUCGAUGAUCAUCUGAGUGGAUGCUUCAUGCAAGUCAGCUAAUACACACUGUGCAAGGUGCAUCACUUUGUAGGCAGACUGAGAGUGAAGACUGUUCUUGCGCAUGGUUGAGGAGAGCUGCUGCUGGUAAGCCGUAGUGUUUAGCGGUGGAAGACCCUUGAGUCUCCGAUCCUGAUAUGGAAGUUGAAAUUGUCAAGACAUGGAAACCAUUUUUACAAAAGAGCUGGACUAACGGGAUUAUCAAGUAAGGUUUCAGUCCUAUUGAGAACUUGGUAUAAGGAACCAGUAGUGUGAGAUGGCCUAAAACACAGGAAUCAUUAUACAAGUGUUGAUUACUGGCAACUUUGAUUGAGGCUGGCUUAAAUGGUACUCAACGCAAUAACGUUCCUGAGGUGGAAAUACCCUGGGAGGUAACAGACUACCGUUUUCAACCCCAAGGAGUAUAUGUGAAAACUUUAACAUCUCCCGACCGAGAGAGGGGAGACCUGUCCGUCCACGAUGUGAUGCUUGGUAAUUAAUUGCAUUCUUUUAAGUUUGAUUUAGCCAUUAUAAUUUGUUCAAAUCGAAUAGUGCAAUCAUUCGAGCUCAUAUCGGAUUCACACGAUGAGAAAAUUAAGACAAAACUCUACAACUUCGUUGCUUACCGAGACAUUAGUGCAACUUGAGGUAGUUAAGUUCAAGUCUGCUUUUACUUCACGCGACAAAGGGGCACAGGCUGAGUCACAUGAAUCCAUGAUUUUGGACUGAAAAUUCUGAAACGGCAAACGUUGAGGCGUCAUGGUUUUGAACGAGUUAAAUAUAGUGCAGAAAAAUAAAUACUUCUAGUUUCUGUCAUUCAGUCAGUAAGAAUCAUUUUUAAUAACCCAGAAGAGGCAUGAUGAUUUCUUUUAAACUAUGUGCAGUUUCAUUUUUACCACCAAAACUUGCAAACUUGAAAACUUACAGAGUAAGAGUAUCGUAUAUCUUACCGAGUACGUCAAUGUUCUGGAUGUCAGACUGGCCAAAAAUUGUGACGAUACAACCAGAAAGUCGAUGGUCCUUCGCCCAUGACGGUGGAGUGCGGAGGAUCUGGAACAUCGUCUCGACCGAAGACAAUUGGCGCGUACAGAAGUAUUGACCAGCAUGACCAAAAGCAACACAAGACAAGAAAAAGAAAAGAGUUUUAUUGGAUGACCUGAAAAUAUUUCAAAAAUAUUUUUUUAAAUACAAACCAAAUUAAUUUCGCUAAUUAAAAGUUUUAUCUACAAAAUACCAAGCUCAGUAAGAAUUUCUGGUUUCUAAGUAUCUGCUUAAACACAUAUCAAUUUGAGCUCAUCAUACCUUUUGAUGGAGCACAAAUUAAACAUUUCAUCAAAAUAA